UACGAAGGUCCCAAGCGUUAUCCGGAUUUAUUGGGUUUAAAGGGUGCGUAGGCGGACUAUUAAGUCAGUGGUGAAAGCCCCAAGCUUAACUUGGGAACUGCCAUUGAUACUGAUGGUCUUGAGUACAUUUGAGGUGGGCGGAAUGUGUCAUGUAGCGGUGAAAUGCUUAGAUAUGACACAGAACACCGAUUGCGAAGGCAGCUCACUAAACUGUAACUGACGCUGAGGCACGAAAGCGUGGGGAGCAAGCAGG
rnacentral:rRNA from 1 species